rnacentral:rRNA from 1 species
AGUGAACGCUGGCGGUAGGCCUAACACAUGCAAGUCGAACGGCAGCACAGAGGAGCUUGCUCCUUGGGUGGCGAGUGGCGGACGGGUGAGGAAUACAUCGGAAUCUACUCUGUCGUGGGGGAUAACGUAGGGAAGCUUACGCUAAUACCGCAUACGACCUACGGGUGAAAGCAGGGGACCUUCGGGCCUUGCGCGAUUGAAUGAGCCGAUGUCGGAUUAGCUAGUUGGCGGGGUAAAGGCCCACCAAGGCGACGAUCCGUAGCUGGUCUGAGAGGAUGAUCAGCCACACUGGAACUGAGACACGGUCCAGACUCCUACGGGAGGCAGCAGUGGGGAAUAUUGGACAAUGGGCGCAAGCCUGAUCCAGCCAUACCGCGUGGGUGAAGAAGGCCUUCGGGCUGUAAAGCCCUUUUGUUUGGAAAGAAAUCCAGCUGGCUAAUACCCGGUUGGGAUGACGGUACCCAAAGAAUAAGCACCGGCUAACUUCGUGCCAGCCGCCGCCGUAA